AAAAGAAUGAAAUUUUGUCAUUUGCAACAACACAGAUAGAGCUAGAGAAUAUCAUGCUAAUUGAAAUGUCAAUCAGAGAAAGACAAAUACCAUGUGAUUUCAUUCAUAGGUGGAAUUUAAGAAACAAAACAAAUAAGCAAAGGGGAAGAGAGUGAAAGGGAGAGAAAGGGGCAAACCAAGAAUCAGAUUCAUAACUAGAGAGAACAAAAUGGUGGUUACCAAAGGGGAGUAGCUGGGCAAAUGGGUUAAAUGGGUGAUGGGGAUAAAGGGGGGCACUUUCUGUGAUGAGUACUGGAUGUUGUAUGAAGUGUUGAAUCACUAUAAUGUACACCUGACACUAUAUAUUAAGUAUACUGGAAUUAAAAUUUAUUAAGAAAAAAAUCCUGUACUCUUAAAUCACUGUGUUCAUGAUCUCUAGAUUGUGAUAUCAAAGCCCUUUCACAUACAGUAUCAUAUUUGGUCUUUUCAACAGCUCUGCAAGCAGGCCUGGUUUCCAACCUCAGCUUAGCUCCUGCCUAGCUGUGCUACCUUAGUUCUCUUAAACACUCUAAACUAAGCUUUUACCAUCUGGAAAGGGAGGAUAAUGAUGGCGUCCAACCACCCACAGGGCCGUUGUGAGGAAGAGAUGCACCAAGGGAUGUGCAGCUGUGCCCCGUCCAGAGUGGAAGCUAUGGAAAUGCCCACUCUGUUGAUGGGCAGAGCAGGGACUUCCAUGCCAAGUUACAGAUGCGAGGACACAGGAAACAUCGGAAGUCCUGGUCGAUAACCAGAAAAGAACAAAAUCGGUCACAGAGGGAAAUCAAUGCCGGUUUCACCAGCAAUCAGCAGAUGUAGCUGCUUCUACAUUGACAAAACUGGAAUGGAACCAAAACCAGGAUGGGCCAGUUUUGCAACACAGAACAAACCAUGGGCCAGCCAUGGAUAUCAGAGGUUGCUAUUUUGACCCUUCACCCAUUUUUCUAUCUAUUCAUCUUUCUAUUCAUUUUCUUCUUUCCUUGACAACCUAAAGUAGCUUAUCUAAGUUAUAAAGCAAGCUCCCAAAAUGUUCAAACAUGUCUCUGCUAUUAAGGCAGGUUACUAAGGGAUACAAGUAGCAGUGAAAAACAUUGCAACACCAGACGUGAUAUUCUUUCUUUUUGGACAGUCCCACAUUAGUCCACAUUUGGAACGCCAGC
rnacentral:lncRNA from 1 species